UCCGAUUUGUCACCGGCAGUCUCCUAUGAGUCCCCGUCAUUACACGCUGGCAACAUAGGACAGGGGUUGCGCUCGUUGCGGGACUUAACCCAACAUCUCACGACACGAGCUGACGACGGCCAUGCACCACCUGUGUUCAGGCUCCCUUUCGGGCACACCCCCAUCUCUGGAGGCUUCCGUACAUGUCAAGGGUAGGUAAGGUUAUUCGCGUUGCAUCGAAUUAAUCCACAUCAUCCACCGCUUGUGCGGGUCCCCGUCAAUUCCUUUGAGUUUUAGCCUUGCGGCCGUACUCCCCAGGCGGGACACUUAAUGCGUUAGCUGCGGCACGGGAGGAGUCGACACCUCCCACACCUAGUGUCCAUCGUUUACGGCGUGGACUAC
rnacentral:misc_RNA from 1 species